GUCUGUACCAAACAUUGUCAGUGUUCCAGCCAUGCUGGUAAAUGUUUAACAAUGAGCUCUCAAAAAGAAAACCCCGAAUUAUGGCACUUGCCAAUUUCCAUGGUGUAAAUACUCCCACAUGGCUGACAUCAAACUAAAUUAAUGGUUGUCUCCACACAUGUAGCUGGGAAGCAAUGCUCACACCCCAGAGGGAGCUGGCCCCGAACACCCCCCUGUGCCCUCUUGCCUGACCCGGUUUGGACACCAGCUGCCUGGCGGCCAGUGCUGGGGCGUUUUGUCCGGUGCUGCCCUCAGAAGGCACUCUGCCUGAGAGUACGCAAAGCCAGCAGUGCCUGGGAGUUUACAGCCCCCAGGGGGAUCUUGUGGGUACAAAUACUGCAACUGUUGGCUCUGAUUGGCUGGCUCUGGGAUGUGACUUCCUCCCUAGAGGCUGAGCCAAAGGCAUCUUCAGCUGACUUUGCUUGAAGCCUCACCUUGGCUUGGCUUCCUGCCUUUUUUCCUCUCAGUUCCUCUUCCACCUGUCUUUGCAGAUAACUUUCCUGGUAACUUCCUUUCACACGCAACCUUGUCUCAGGGUCUACUUCUAGGGAACCCACGUAAGGCUGCAUCUCUAGAUAUCUUUUUCCCUUAAAUGCCCUGGGGUUUGGGAGAGUUUCCCACUCAAUAAUACUCAGUAAGCUUUCCCAUUAACCCCGCUAUAAGCUUUUCUUGGUUUCCUCUGUGUCUGUGCCCCAAGGUGUGUCUGUCGUGGGGGGAUGAGUCAUGGAGCAAAGUCCUCCCCACUGACUCAGCAAUGCCAUUUCCUGCCCACAACCUUCUAGAACUCUUGCACUUUGACACAAUGGGGACCAGCCCACCCCUGAUUCACCAGCUCAGUUUUCUGUCACAUCCUGUACUUUCCCUGAGGAUUUUUCUGUUCUCCUUCUGACCAGAGUCAACGCCAACCAACCCACAAGCAGCAGAGAACAGAAACGUGGCCAGAUGGUCUCCAAUACGGAUCAAAAACAUAAAGAGGCAAACGUGGAGGGGCGGAAGGUCCUUGGCCCUUUUCUCUUGAAAUUGAGUUCGCUGUGUUGAAAUGUCCAUCGUGUCUGCAUCCCCUUCCUGGUUUUCCCCAAAGAGGCCGUGGCGGGGGAACAGGUGGCGUUCCAUGUGGUGGCAACAUGAAGGGAUCACUCGCCAGCGAGCAUAAUCGCUCUGGAAACAUUCGGAAUACUCAUAUGUUCUGUACUUUUCCCCUGAGUCAAUAAGGUAGAAAUGCAUCAGGAGAAAGUCAAAGGUUUCUGUCAAAAUCCAGACCACAGGGAGAAAAUGACGAGUUGAUGGGGCUCACCCUGUGAUCAAUUUCUCCGUGAACCUGACAGGGAAGUCUUCUUAGAGGGCACCUCAGCGUCUGAAGUUGGCUUUCACAAUGAGCAGAAGGUGAAAAGCUGCCAAACAACAGCCACUUUCAAAAUCCAGUGAAAACAGAACUAAGCCAACAAAGGAAUAACAAGGUCCCAGGUUGCAAAACAAAACAAGUUGGGAAAACUUGUCCAAGAGCUGUACUGAACUCUUGCAUGGGCGCUGACGUACACAAAUCAUCCUCAUCACCUCUGAAACGAGGCAGCUCUAAAUUACUUCUUGAAUUCCAUAUGGUUAAUCUGCAGGCACAGGAACAUGCUUUAGGGUGAAAUUUAGUUGUUGUUGUUUUCACUGGGCUUGCAAUAACAUAUUGUAAAUGACUAAGGCUAGAUGACACUUUCACACCAGUCUUGAAAUCAUCCCAGUGAUCUUGACCCAAUGCCAGAUGAGGAUCUUGGUGCAGAUAAAGCGACUGUGCUUCUUCUUCCUGCAGAAUUAACAUUAACAAUCCUGCACAUUAACAAUCUAGAACUAUGUUAGCCAGGGUAUUUGAGGCAGAAUUCUGAACUGAAAUUGGUCGUCUCCUAGCACAAUGAUUUUUAAAUACAAAACAAGCAAACACACAAAAAGAAAAAAAGAAACAACAAGAAAUUUUAAAAUGUCGUAUCUAUCUUAUGAAAGCCAAAAUGAAAGAUUGGCAACCUUUCCUGAAUAUGGGCAUUGUCCACAUCUAAUCUAGAUGAUGUGGGUCCAGUUUUCUCUUUCUUCAAUCAUCUGAUGUUUUUACAUUCAAAUUGGUAGGAAAAGGAUGCUUUCCAGUUUAAUUUUCUUUAAAAUAAUUUCGCAGAUUUCUGAAUCCAUAUGCAAUUUUUAAGAGCACAGACUUUGGACUCAAAAAUGAGUUUAAAUUCUCAGUCUGCCACUUACAAGAUGAGUAAGGUGAAAAACCCCUUCACCUCUGUAAGCCUCAGGUGAGUAUCUUAUAAGGUUGCUGGAGAGGUUACGAGACACAAGGCAUAGAAAAGGGCUUCCUGUGUUAUAGUCUGCCCAUAGAGCAAGCACGUCUUUCUUUCUUUCUUUUCUUUCUUUCUUUUCUUCCUUCUUUCUUUUUUUUUUUUUUCAUUGAGAUAGGGCCUCACUCUGUCACCCAGGCUGCAGUGGAAUGGUGCCAUCUCGGCUCACUGCAACCUCCACCUCCUGGGUUCAAGCCAUUCUCAUGCCUGCCUUCUGAGUAGCUAGGAUUACAGGCACCUGCCACCAUGCCUGGCUAAGGUUUGUAUUUUUAGCAGAGAUGGGGUUUCAACAUGUUGACCAGGCUGGCCUUGAACUCCUGACCUCAGGUGAUCUGCCCACCUCAGCCUCCCAAACUGCUGGGGUGACAGGUGUGAGCCAACGUGCCUGGCCCAAUUAUGAUUAUUUCUGUUUUCUUAGUUUGUCCCUUACUUGAAACAGAUUAGUUAUUUACAACAUGGAGUUUGUGUCUCUGUAACUUUGUAAUCAUGCAAAAUAAUUGUACAUGAUCCACAUAUACACACACACACCACACACACACACAUAUCCUUAGAAGAAUAAUUUUCUCCAAAUUGAACUGUAAGGGUCUGUGUGAUUUGGGCAGAGAUAGUCGCUGCUGCUUUCCCAGCUAAUAAAGUUGUCCGAAUCUGUUUACUCUCAAAUUUAUAGAAAGAGCUUCAUUAGCAGCCUCCACGGAUGACACAGCCACCACAUGGCACGCAGAGUUAGUCUGAGGAUAAAUCUUGGUUUGCCCAGUUUUGCAGAGUGAUUCGUUUUUAAUGAAUUAUGCACACAGAUCAUAGGCUCUGCUCAAAGCCUCAUUUACUCUGGAAAUUCCUGAAAUUACUAUUCAUUUUGCUGAGUUCUUUUUUUACCCUCUUGAAAGCUCACAAAAACCCUCUGAAAAAGAAAAGCAUCAGCAUACAUAUUGUUGUAGAUUAGAAAACACAAAUGAUUUGAUAGAAAGCAGGUUUGGGGUGAAAUAAUCAUAAUAGUGAAUCAGCUCUCUGACUUUUUUUGAUGCUAUGGAAACCCUGGCAGUGAAGAAACUUUGAUUAAAUAGAUUCACAAUAGAUUCAAGCGUACUCAAGGGCUGGGGUCUUAACAUCUCUGGAGUGGCUCACAGUGCUGAGCACAUGGCAGACGCCCAAUCAAUUCGUGCAAACAAAUGAACAGAAUCAGAUUUCCAAGGAGUUCUUCAGGAAGUCAAGUAAUGCAUUGACCCUUUCCUUCAGCAUUACAUCCACGGAGCCUGCCUGUCUAAAUGAUUCAGAUCCGCUCUGCAACUCUAUGCAGGAGAAACACAUUUUCCUUUUCUGGUGGAUCAGACAACAGCAGGACUUCUGGAUUAUGUCUUCUGCAUAGGUUGCAGCAGGGAAACAUAGCAUUACGCGUGUAGACAGGGCAGGUUUAAUGCUAGGCAACGUUCUUAAGGGAGAUCAGAAAAGCAACUAGCAUGCCAGGUCUACUGUCCCGGCCCCCAAGGCUCAGCACAGAUAUUUGGAAAACCAGGAGUUGAGCAUUUGACUGGAAAAUAAAAACAACAUAGACUCGUGCAUUUGAUCAGUGAACUUGGAGCGCACACCAUGGAUUAGGCACAGCUGGGCACCGAGGAGACAUCACCUGGCUUAUAAGUCAUCUGUGCCCUCUGGGGACUGACAGUCCAGCUGGGAAUGAGGAUCAGGAGGUCAGAAAUUAAGUAAAGAGCAAAGAAGAAUGCAACAUGAGUAAACGCAAAAAUAAAAAAUAAAAACAAACAAAACAAGUUGGCCCUGACCAUCAGGCAGUAUGGUAUGGAGAAGACCACGGGCUUGUGUCUAUCAGUCAGACCUGCUUUGAGUCUUGGCUCCACCAUAAACCAGAUGAGUUAAGUUUCAUACCCUCUCUAAACGGUCGCCUCAGCUAUACAACAGGCUCAAUGAUAUUCACCCCACAAGAUUGCUAUAAGAAGGAAAUGGUAUGACCUUGGGGCAAGAAGAGGUACCAUUGUCCCCACUGUCCACAGAUGGUGACAUUUGUUCAGGACAACCUGGCCAUUAAGGAGGAGAACUCUAUGAGAACAAGGUCUGCGUCCCUAGAUGGCAUUCAUACAGAUGACCAGCGCAUGAUGUGACAAAACCAUCCUCUGGUAAAAGAUCCAUUUAGAGUGCAGAUGGGCCAGCGAAUUCUAAUGAAAGAGAAGAUGAAGUGUUCAUUGAUGUGGUUUCAGAUUUCCACAUUGCCGCUCACCUUUAAGAAACUGCCACUUGUUGAGUUUUGGUCUAGUAUCAAGAAGAACAGCCACAAUUAUCUGGAAAAGUCUAUCACAAUACUCAUCCCUUUGCCAAUUACAUAUCUGCAUGAGCUUGAUUUUCUUCAUGUACAUCAAUCAAAAUCUAUUGCAACAGACUGAAGUCAGAGGUGAAAAGCCUCCCUCUUCCCAAUGCUACCUGCCAGCUACGCUUCUCGGCAGAUGUUUCUGGACUUCAGUGGCCUCAUUUGCAAGCUGAGAGGGCUGAACAGAUGAACCCUACACUCUUCUGUCUGAAGUUUCUGUGCUCCCAAAUGUCUUCAUUUUAAAGAGGAGAGCUGCAUUCCUGGAAAAUGACACGGCGCCAAGAGGUUUUUAAUAGAAAUGACCCUGCUGAUCAUCCCAGCCACCCUGUGAGUACACACAGAGUAUCAGGAAAACCUUGUUUUUCAAAUGAAGACACUGAGGCUGGAAGCCACGCAGUGACUUGUCUGGGCUCUGGCCCAGCAGAGCCUCACAUGCAAAUCUCAGGAUCCUAAACACCAUUUUCAUUGCUUUCUUUCCCCAAAAUGUUUGUGGUCUCUUUUGUGUCAGGUAAAGCACUAGUCACUUUCUACAAAGCCUUGCACGUUUUAUGUUGGAUUAUUCUGCUAUUUUGGCAAAUAAUGUGAAAGUGUUUAAGCACUUUUAUGUCAAACCUAAUUUCCUUUCAACAUCAUGUGAUAAUACCAGAAGUUGGCAGGGGAAAUUUUGUUGUUUUUCUCUUAUUUUUAAGUUAAAUAUUAAUGAUAAAAAAGAACCAUCAAUAAGAGCCCCUUGCAGUCCCUGAGCUCUUCACAUCCUGGUGACUAUUUUUACUGGGAAGAUGCUUUUAUUUCUGACUCUGCAUGGUAACUGGGAUGACAUCAAUUAUUUGUUUGUUACCUCCCAAAUUAUCAAGGAGCCGAUGAUCUAAUGAUGAUGAUCAAUGACACAGGUGAUAGAUGAUGUCACAAUCUGAACACCUGCCGGGUGCCACCCAGCACCUUUCCUGCAUCGCCUCCCAUAUCCUCUGAGGACCCAAGAUCCACUUUAGUAUUUGCCACAUAGUAAAUGCUCAGAAAAUACCAGCGCAGUCACUCUUCUCUGGAGUCCAAUCUUCCCUGAACAGGUGCUCCUGCGCCCAUUUUAUAGGUGAGCAAACCGAGGAUAGAAAGUUUACAUCACUCCCUCAGGAUCCUGCAGCCAGUAUUUAAAUGCGAGGACAUGUUCUUUCUUCUACCUAUUGCUUGUGAAGCUAGGAAGGAGAUGGGGGUGAGGAAGGAGCAGAGCCCGAGGAAGGUGAAAAUACCAGAAGAAAAAUGGAAGGUGGAGGCCGGGCACAGUGGCUCACACCUGUAAUCCCAGCACUUUGGGGGGCUGAGUCGGGUGGAUCGCCUAAGAUCAGGAGUUCAAGACCAGCCUGGCUAACUGGGUGAAACCUUGUCUCUACCAAAAAUACAAAAAUUAGCCAAGUAUGGUAGUGCACACCUGUAAUUCCAGCUACUGGGGAAGCUGAGGCAGAAGAAUUGCUUGAACCUGGUAUGUGGAGACUGCAGUGAGCCAAGAUUGUGCCAUUGCACCCCAGCACUCCAGCCUGGGCAGCAGAGCAAGACCUCAUCUCAAAAAAAAAAAAAAAAAAGAAAGAAAGAAGAAUGGAAAGUGGAGAACAGGUGGUCUUAACAAGUUGUCCAGAGGAGGAGGAAAUGGAUAGCCCCAGGGCCCUCGUCCUUGGCACAUAUGCACAUGAACAGACCAAACCUGCCAGGUGGGCUUGAGGUUGGAAGGAGCCACAGGGCUGUGUCUACACUGUCCAGUAUGGAAGCACCCAACCACCUGCCACCACGGAACACGUGAAAAGUGUCGAGGUGGCUGCCACAUUGCACCACACAGCUGGAGAAGGCUGAGAAGAGGGGGAUGGAGAGACCCUCCCCUCCAAGGGAGAGGUGCAAGGGGGGCCUCUCUGCCCUCCAGGGCUCAGUAUCAAUGGUGGGAGACUGCCUUCAUCCCCCAGAACACACUCCUGGGACAGCUGCAAAUAGGGAACCCCCAAAGCCCAGCAGCUGUGGGAGGUGAAGGGGCAGCUCGGUUACAGACCAGGCUGCAAAGCAUCUGUCUAAAAGGUCAGUGUCCACAAGAAGCACAUCAUCUGACCACCCAGCAGUUUCCCGGCACCAGCUCCAUGUCCAGCCCUGUGUUAGGUCCAGCUGAAUCAGCAACUUACUGGGGAAGUCAUGUCUCUAAGAAAGGAGCCCUCAGGCCUGCAGAGGCUCUGUUAGCCCCACUGCAGACAGCAGAACCCAGAAAACACUGGUGAGAGCAGCGGCCCCGGGAGAGGAUCCUGGAGGACAAUCAUCCUCACACCCUCGUAGAAGGCAGGCAGGUGUACCAGUCAGGGUCCGGGCAGAAAAGAGGACCAGGUGCAGAUCAUUCAUAGGAAGAGACGGCGAGGAAGAGGCCUUAACAAAGGGGAGGGCAGAUUCCAGAACAAACAUGAAACAUGGGGGAAGAGCGAGAAGCUGACUAGGGUCAAAGGGUCAGAGGAGGAGACAAGGCUGCAGAGGGAGCGGUCAGGGCUGUGGUCCCAGAGAAGCAGGGAUCAGGCAGUCAGGAGGUGGCCAGACCAACUGAGGAGCAGGAAACAGAUAAGGAAACCAAAGCUCAGAGAGGUUAAGUAACUGGCCCCACAUCACUCAGCUAGAAGGAAGUAAUAGAGCUGGAAUUUGAACCCAGGCUACAAGUUGGGGGUGUCCGCAUUGAUUUUUGAGUAGGUUUGAGUAGUAGCCUCUCUCUUUCCACCCAGGGGUCUCCUGCGGGGCUUCCCAUUGGCUGACGGGAAGAAGCGUGAGGCAGAGUAACCCUGGCAAUGAACUUGAGGGAUCCACUGAGGGCUUUCUACAAUUCCCACAAGAUGCUGUUGCCCUUCCCCAUCCAAGAGGAUGCCAGAGCCCAUGUGAUGACCUUGUUAUCGUUAAGAGGCUUGAAAAAGCAAAACAAGAUCGUCCUGUCUCUGGAUGCACCUUUGAUGCCUCCAUUCUAUCAGGCAAGCAAGGCCCUGGAAACAUCCUUUCUCUCCAGCAGAGGAGCCUGAUAGGUUGACAGGGAACCCUGGUCUCUGGACUCCCAGGCUUAAUCUGGGCCAACAGAGGAAGGGGUUUCCUGAGAAGUGAGACCCUCCAGAGCCCCUGUGGAAGGCUCCCAGCUUUGGGGGCAUUUUUGGUUUCUUAAUCUGCAUUUAGCUCCACCUCAGAGUGGGGCAUGGGGAACCUGAUUGGGAUUUAGAAGGUGACGAGGCAUUCUUACACUAAUUGUGCCCCUCGGGAUGCAUGGAAUACUAGGAGACACCAUGGCUUUUCACAUUCAGGUGCUCGUGUGAACAUCACCAACUGCCUCUAAACACAGGUAGCAGCAACAUGCAAUCUUUUGAUGGGAAGCAGUUAUUUCUUGAUCACUCGAGGGUUUUGAAGGCAGCCAGGCAGCUCAGGGGAAAAGCAGGUUCUACGAGAAGAGAGACAUGAUAUGCUCAGACAUUUCUGCAUCCUUGUCCUACACACAGUGUGAUCCACAGUGGUAAAGGUGAAGAAACUGAGAUUCACGAGUGUUUCAGAAAACUGCCUAAGAUGUUAGAACUAACAAGUCCUGAAGUUCAAACCCAAGUAUGACUGUCAACAUGAGGUUCUUUCUACAAACAGCAAUUCUGGAAGCUUCCAUUUACAGAGUGUUGCCCACAGAAGGGGCCUGGAAUACUGGUUGUUCAUGGAAUCUUCACUACUGCCCCAUGAAGUAGAGACAACGAUUAAGCCCAUUUUACCAAUGAGGAAAAUGGAAGCACAGAGAGACCUAAUAACCUUCCUAAGAUCACACAGUGAGACAGGACCCACAGUUGUUCUCUUUCCUCACCUCAUCACACUGCAGCCAUGACCAACCAAGAGGGCACAAUCGUCACUUAAGGCAUGAAGAAGCUCUGGUCAUAGGCUUGACUUGCAGGUGAGCCACCGAUCGGGGUUGCUCAAUGUGUCCUGAGCCCAAUUCAAGUCAGAUUGUGAAACCUUUGCUUCAACAGUCCCAGUGAUGGGAAGCUCAAUGGGAAGCGAGUCUCUCAGUCAGCUGCCAAUGAGUCUUUCCUUCCCUGAAUGCACAUAGUGGGUAUCAUAUUAAGAUGUGAGGGUUACAUUCUCUCCCCUUGAAUCUGGGCUGGCCCUGUGAUAUGAUGAGCAGAAUGUAGUAGAGGUGACACUCCAGAACUUCCAAGCCCAAAUCCAAGAUUAGCAGUUUCUCCUUCCUUCCCCUUGGGACACAAUCACAAGAGAAGCCUGGGCCCCAAGGAGAAGCCACAUGGAGGAGAACCAAGGUGUUCCAGUUGACAACUCUAAAAGACCUCCUGCCAACAGCCAGCACCAGCUGCCAGCAGGGGGAAUGAGCUGCUUUAGAUUGCCAGCCAGCAUGGAGACCCCAGGUGACUGCAGCCAGCGACAUCAUGAAGAGCAGCAGAACCAACCAGCUGAGCCCUGUCACCCCACAGAAUCACAAGAAUAACAAAACAGUCGGUGGCUUAAGUCAUUGAUCUCCUAGACAUUUUACUGUGCUGCUACCAAUAACUACCUUGUGAGGCAGCCUGUGUACCUGGAGACUGUUCCACCUUUAGGUGUUUUUUCCAUAAAGCUAAAUCCUCAUUCUUUCAUUUGUCUCCCUGGUUGGAGAUCUCCCUCAGGAACCACAUAGAACACAUGACAGAGAAUUAGAAAUGAAGGGGUAUGAGUUAUUAAAGACCAGCUUGUCCAUAUUGCUAACUAUACAGAUUAGUGAUUGAAGGCCAAACAGAUUCUGUGGCAUUCUCUGACCUCCCAUCCAGGUUGGGUACCCCACUCUGAGCUCCCACAAUCCCCUCUGCUUUUCCCACGAAAGCACUUACCACACCACACUACCUCCUAAUAACGUGGUAACAUCUCUUUCCAGGCAAGAGGCCAUAGGC
rnacentral:lncRNA from 1 species